CUCCCUUUAUAUAUGACCCUAUAAUUUUAAUUUUGUCUGAUAGUGAGACAUACCAUGAUCUCUAUCAUAGGUAUCACUAAAAUCUCUUUCAGUGGGUCGGAAUAAUUUUACUCUAAUUCGAUGAGGAUCAUUGAUUCAAAAUAAUCCUAUUGAGCUUUCACAAUCCAUCAGUGACAUCUAGCAAUAUGUAGUGACAAUUCAGCAGAACCAAAAUAGAAUCUUUAGAUGUAGUUAAUGUAUGAUACAGUCCCUCUAUCGUGAUUCCGGACUAGAUGGUAAGUUAUGAAUAAAUCAUCAAACUUCAUCAUCAGUC
rnacentral:lncRNA from 1 species